GUAGGUUGCUGGAAGAACACUCACAGGUGUGGAAAGAAAGGACUUGCCUCCUACCUGGGCUUCUAGGGACCUUUCUCUCGACUGGGAAGGAUUUUGAUGUUAAUUGGAAAUACCUCCAGAAGAUUCAAGAAGCUGUGAAAUAAGUCUGUGAAGGACCAGCAUGGGAAUCCUAUACUCUGAGCCCAUCUGCCAGGCGGCCUAUCAGAAUGACUUGGGUCAAGUGUGGCAGUGGGUGAGGGAAGACGGCAACUGCAUCAACAUUCAAGACGGCUUUAAUGGAGACACCCCCUUGAUCUGCGCUUGCAGACGAGGGCACCUGAGAAUCGUGUCCUUCCUUCUGAGAAGAAACGCUGAUGUGAACCUCAAAAACCAGAAACAGAGAACCUGCUUGCAUUAUGCUGUGAAGAAAAGAUUCACCUUCUUUGAUUAUCUACUCAUUAUCCUCUUAAUGCCUGUCCUGCUUAUUGGCUAUUUCCUCAUGGUAUCAAAGACAAAGCAGAAUGAGUCUCUUGUACGAAUGCUACUUAACGCUGGUGCCGAAGUUAAUGCUACAGAUUGUUAUGGCUGCACUGCGCUACAUUAUGCCUGCGAAAUGAAAAGCCAGACUCUUGUCCCUCUGCUCCUGGCGGCCCAUGCAGACCCCAUGAUAAAGAAUAAGCAUGGUGAGAGUUCCCUGGAUAUUGCACGGAGAUUAAAAUUUUCCCAGAUUGAAUUACUGCUAAGGAAAGCGUCAUAAUCGUUAUGACCUCAUAUGAAGAAGUACAAUGGAUUCUGUUUCCAUCUUGGACUAUUGGUCUGUGGACCACUCAAUCUGGAGGUCACCAUGCGUUUAAUUUUUGAAGGCAGAAACCUGGGCCAGACAUUUGAAACCAGAAGGUCUCCUAGAUGCAAGCUGUAAACUCUCAAAGAAGCUUGGACUAGAACCUAGGAUGGGGGCUGAGCUCCAGAAGUGGAGUCAAGCAAGUGAUUAGAGAGUUGGAAAUUUCAGUCCCAUUCAUGACCUCUGGAGAGGGGAGAUGGGCUGGAGACUGAGUUCAAUCGCCAGUGGCCAAUGAUUUAACCAACUGGACCUCUCUAAGGAAGCCUCCACAAAACCCCAAAAGGACAGGGUUCAGAGCCUCCAGGUUGAUGAACACGUGAAAAUGUGGGGAGAGUGGCCCCAUGGAGAAGACAUGGAAGCUCUGCUCCCCUUCCCUUGAUCAGUGCAUCUCUUUUACCUGGCCGUUCCUGAGUUAUAUCCUUUUAUAAUAAACCAAUAAUCUAGUAAGUAAAGUGUUUCUCUGAGUUCUAUGAGCCAAUCUAGCAAAUUAAUCAAACCUCAGUCUGAGAAGGGGGUUAUGGGAACCUCUGAAUUAUAGCCAGUGGGUCAGACACACAGGUGACAACCUGGGCUUGCGAUUGGCAUCUGAACUGGAGGAUAGUCUUGUGGGACCGAGCCCUCAACCUGUGGAAUCUCAUGUUAUCUCUGGGUAGACAGUGUCAGAAUUGAGUUAAACUCUAAGUCACCCACCUGGUGUUGGAGAAUGUUUUGUUCAUGGGGAGAAACUCCCCUCCACACACAUAUACUGGAAUUUGGUGGUCAGACCUUUCUUUUAUAGAGUAACUUAGCUAUGGAAGGUUGGAAUAUUCUAUGGAGACUGUAAUAUGUUUUUCUCAUCUAACAGGUGAAAAGACUGAACUGAAUGUCAGGUCUAGCUCUAAGGCUCUGUGAGUCUAUGACACCUUUUUGCAUGUGUGUUUUCUCUUUCUUUCCAUGACCAUUUUCUGGCACCUGCUCUACACAAGUCACUUUCUCUCUGACUCAUGACCUUAAAUGUUGAUAAAUUAAAUCUUAUCUUGGAACUGGGAUGCUUUCUCUAAAGAUAUAUUUUAGGAAACAAUGAAAGAAGGAUCUUAAAAAUGUAGCUGGUACCUGUGAUUGAGUUUGCUAUUCAGAGGCACGACAGUGGUCUGUCCAAUUUCCGAGACUUUAUAUCUAGACAUACAGAAGUAUAUCUACAGAAGUGGAUGUUAAGUGUGAUAUGAGACUCUCUAAGAUUAGCCUGUGUAUGUAUUCUGCUCCCUCCAGCUUUAUGUGUAUGGUCAAUAUUUGCUUACAUUCUCACACAAGCUAACCAAUAAUCUUCAGUGAAGGUUUUAUGCUUAGAGAAGUUUAAUACAAAUUUCUAAUUCUCCAUAACUUUUGUUUUAAAUUUUAUUCCAUAACAUUGAUUACACACACAGAUUUUCUUGGGUAAUAUUUUUCACUUGCAAAUUACAAAUUCAUUAAAAGUGUGACCAGGGAGAACUCUUAUCUAGUCCAGUAAUUUUUAUUUUAAAGAGAAAGAGAUUGAGGCCUGAAGAAUCAAAGCAGCCUAGCCCUGAUGGUACAAAUUUGUAAUGCAGAGGCAAAACUAAUACAGUAAUUCUCACUUGUCAUUAAUACUCUUUUUACUGUACCAUGAACCAACCUCACCCCUGCCAUCCUCAUUUGUGGUUUUCUUCUGCUGUUGUUGUUUUUUAAUCUUGAAAGAUCCUCUAGCAGCCACCACAGACUACACCCUUCCCUUCACUAAGUCUACCCAUCUUGCUCCUAAGAAGCCCUGUGCCUUGUUCAUGGAGGCAGCCUCAUCAAAAAAGUUCUCCUACUGCAUUAUAAAAGUGGUUCUCUUUAACCCUUAAAAGUCUCUUGGCUGGGCUUCCCUGGUGGCUCAGUGGUUGGGAAUCCGCCUGCUAAUGCAGGGGACACAGGUUCAAGCCCUGGUCCGGGAAGAUCCCACAUGCCAUGGAGCAACUAGGCCCGUGCACCACAACUACUGGGCCUGUGCUCUAGAGCCUGCGAGCCACAACUACUGAGCCCACGUGCCACAACUACUGAGCCCGUGUGCCACAACUACUGAGCCUGCCCGCCACAACUACUGAGCCUGCGCACCUAGAGCCCGUGAUCCGCAACAAGAGAAGCCACCGCAGUGAGAAGCCCAUGCACCACAACAAAGAGUAGCCCCUGCUCAUCUCAACUAGAGAAAGCCCUCGAGGAGCAACAAAGACCCAACACAGCCAAAAAAAAAAAAAGUCUCUUGGCUAAGCUUUGAACUUUUCCAUUUUCAAAUGAAGUCAAACCAGAACUAAUUACUUUUUACUUGAAUUCUUUCUUUUUCAUAUUCUUUUCCAGUGUAUUCCCUGUGCUGUAUAGUAGGACACAUUGUUGUUUAUCCAUGCUAUAUAUAAUAGUUUGCAUCUGCUAAUCCCAAACUCCUAAUCUAUCCCUCCCCCCAUCCCCCUCCCCCCUUGGCAACCACAAGUCUGUUCUCUAUGUGUGUGAGUCUGUUUCAUAGAUAAGUUCAUUUGUGUCAUAUUUUAGAUUCCACAUAUAAGUGAUAUCAUAUGGUGUUUGUCUUUCUCUUUCUGACGUACUUCACUUAGUAUGAUAAUCUCUAUGUCCAUCCAUGUUGCUGCAAAUGGCAUUAUUUCAUUCUUUUUUAUGCCUGAGUAGUAUUCCAUUCUACUUGAAUUCUUGUAUUUUACUCCUAUUUCUAGAAUAAACUGCCAGUAUAACUUCCCUCU